GAAAGGCAUGCUUUGCCUGUGUGGGAGGGAGCUGAGGAAGUCUGAGCCAUCCACAACCGACCAUCUGAAAUCACUUUCCCAGGGAGCCGAAGACGCACAUGGCCAGACACUGCUCUGCUUUUCAAAGAGUUCUUGCUUCAUACCUUGAGAGGGUCAUCAUCCCUGGAUUCCCAGAUGAGUAUUAUUCAGAAAUUCAGGAACUUGAUUGGAGCAAAAAUGUUCCUAUUAACACUGUGCAUCACCAUACAACUUCUGCUGAAUGUAUUACACCCUCAAAGAGAUGAUCCAGUCAGAAGUUGGAGAAAAGAAAAGUAUCUGAGUGGGGGGCUGACCCUUUCAUCUGUCUUUGCAGAGUGUCAUACAGUUAGCGACAGAGAAUGGACCUGUAUUCUCCAACACUCCAUGAUUCUUCAAGGCAUGAGGUAUCCCAUCAGAGAAGACAUGAAGCCCUGGCAACACUCAGUUAAUGGUGGCUCCAUUACUUGAAGUGCUCAAUAAACCAACUGUUUCAUUAUGCUGAUGACGUGAU
rnacentral:lncRNA from 1 species